UACAGAGGGUGCAAGCGUUAAUCGGAAUUACUGGGCGUAAAGGGCGCGUAGGUGGUUAUUUAAGUCAGAUGUGAAAUCCCUGGGCUUAACCUAGGAAUUGCAUUUGAAACUAGAUGGCUAGAGUAUGGUAGAGGGAAGUGGAAUUUCCGGUGUAGCGGUGAAAUGCGUAGAUAUCGGAAGGAACACCAGUGGCGAAGGCGACUUCCUGGACCAUUACUGACACUGAGGCGCGAAAGCGUGGGGAGCGAACAGGAUUAGAUACCCUGGUAGUCCACGCCGUAAACGAUGAUAACUAGAUGUUAGGGGGCUUAGACCUUUUAGUAUCGCAGCAAACGCGUUAAGUUAUCCGCCUGGGGAGUACGGCCGCAAGGUUAAA
rnacentral:rRNA from 1 species